rnacentral:lncRNA from 1 species
UGAAGGGUCAAAAAGGCAAAGGGUGUUUUAGAAGUUUAGCAGACAGCUUUUGGUACAAGGAAAAGAGAGGGAGAGCUGGAGAGAGGGAAACAGGGUGAAGAGGCAGGAAUCUGGCUCGCAUUAAGCUGGGAGGUUCCAACCAUUGAUUCGCUCUGGAAUUAUGGCUUAAAAAAAUUGCAAGACAUGGUUUAUUCAUGAGGGUUCUUUUUUUUUCUUAAGUAGCCACCCAAAGUUACACUUUGGUUCACCAAGACGAAGACUCAUCCUUCCUCUCUCUAUGGAUCUUUCAGAUGAAGAAAUUAAGGCUCAGGAGGGAGGAAAAAAAUAAAAGAAAGAAUUGUCCAAGGUCACCAAGGCAUCUGGACUCCCAUAUGUUGAGCUACUUCUGCUUGUGGGGCAGCUGCAAUACAUGAAUUCUUCACUACCAACUUAAUAUAAGCUAAGGAAUGCAAAAGAUUGCCAGCAAAUGACCAGAAGCUAGAGGGGAGGCAUGGAACAGAUCUUCUCUCACAGCCUCAGAAGGAACUAGCCCUACUGACAGCUCGAUCUCAGACUUCUAGACUCCAGACUGAUGUCAUCAGAAUUUCAAAUGGAUUUGAGUUCCCAUAGGAUUAAGAUCCACUGGCCUAAAAUCAGGGGGAAUUGAUGGGAGAAUUUCUGUAUUGACCUGUGAAAUUGAGCACCAAAGAAACAAUGCCGUGGACUCGCAGAGUGCAGCUAUCACACCAUUUGGUCCAGGAAACCCAAUUCAAAUGUCUACGGUGACAAAAGGUGAAUUUCAAUGAGUGAGUUCAGCCAAGUGUAAGAAAAAUCUUAGUGUUCAGGAGACAAUAUGGAGUAAGUGACAAUGUAGUAGGUCAGAUAGUGGAGAGCAAUGCAUAUCCCAGAUGAGGAUCCAUAGCUCAGCUGCAUCCAUUGUUGCCGUAGUGGAAUCUUGACCCAACUUUGCUGAAUCUUUCAGGAUUUUUGAGUAAAGUCAGUAUAUUGUUUUGUUCUUACACAGCUAUAAUGAAAUACCUGAAACUGGGUAAUUUAUAAAGAAAAGAGGUUUAACUGGGUCACAGUUCCACACGCUGUACAGGAACCAUGGCUGGGGAGGUCUCAGGAAACUUACAAUCAUGGCAGAAGGUUAAGGGGGAAGCAGGCA